UACGUAGGGGGCAAGCGUUAUCCGGAUUUAUUGGGCGUAAAGGGAACGCAGGCGGUCUUUUAAGUCUGAUGUGAAAGCCUUCGGCUAAACCGGAGUAGUGCAUUGGAAACUGGGAGACUUGAGUGCAGAAGAGGAGAGUGGAACUCCAUGUGUAGCGGUGAAAUGCGUAGAUAUAUGGAAGAACACCAGUGGCGAAAGCGGCUCUCUGGUCUGUAACUGACGCUGAGGUUCGAAAGCGUGGGUAGCAAACAGG
rnacentral:rRNA from 1 species